GUUGAGAUGGUUGAGUUGGUUUAAGGCGCUAGAUUAAGGUUUUAGUCCGAAAGGGCGUGGGUCCAAAUCCCACUCUCAACA
rfam:Ipomoea nil DNA, scaffold: scaffold2191, cultivar: Tokyo-kokei standard.